rnacentral:rRNA from 1 species
AUACGUAGGGGGCAAGCGUUAUCCGGAUUUACUGGGUGUAAAGGGAGCGUAGACGGCAAAGCAAGUCUGAAGUGAAAGCCCCGGGCUCAACCCGGGAAUUGCUUUGGAAACUGUUUAGCUGGAGUGCAGGAGAGGUAAGCCGAAUUGCUAGUGUAGCGGUGAAAUGCGUAGAUAUUAGGAGGAACACCGGCGGCGAAGGCGGCUUACUGGACUGUAACUGACGUUGAGGCUCGAAAGCGUGGGGAGCAAACAGGAUUGGAUACCCUGGUAGUCCACGCCGUAAACGAUGAUUACUAGGUGUUGGUUGUCAUAGACAAUCGGUGCCGCAGCAAACGCAAUAAGUAAUCCACCUGGGGAGUACGUUCGCAAGAAUGAAACUUAAAGGAAUUGACGGGG